AGCUUAGGGGCCCUCUGUUUACUCCCUGCUCCCGGGGUCUCCAUAACAACUUAAUUACCCGGACCUCAGGUCCUUUCCUCCCACAGAGGCACGGUGGGACACAGUGGGCUCUCAUGGCCAAAUCCCAGCUCUGCCCAGUCUGGCUUAUGAUCUUGGAUAAGACAUCGGACUUCUCUGAGCCUCAUUUUCCUCCUCUUUAAAAAGGAACAUUGGGACUAGCAGACCAGCAACGGCGGAACAAUGCGACAGAGAAAGAGAGACCAGGAGGGACGCCUGGAUACCGAGGGGAGUUCGUCCGGGGACGGUCGGAGAAGAGUCCAGCCACUGGGCAGCCCGACUCCAGGGGAAGACCACCUUCCCACUGCAUCCCCCCAUUCUGGCUCCCCAUCCAUCUCUCGGAGAGCCACCUCUAUCACUCAAUAAAACCCUGCACUCAUA